UCCUACGGGAGGCAGCAGUCGAGAAUCAUUCACAAUGGGGGAAACCCUGAUGGUGCGACGCCGCGUGGGGGAAUGAAGGUCUUCGGAUUGUAAACCCCUGUCAUGUGGGAGCAAAUUAAAAAGAUAGUACCACAAGAGGAAGAGACGGCUAACUAUGUGCCAGCAGCCGCGGUAAUACAUAGGGGGCAAGCGUUAUCCGGAAUUAUUGGGUGUAAAGGGUGCGUAGACGGAAGAACAAGUUGGUUGUGAAAUCCCUCGGCUCAACUGAGGAACUGCAACCAAAACUAUUCUCCUUGAGUGUCGGG
rnacentral:rRNA from 1 species